rnacentral:rRNA from 1 species
GAUGAACGCUAGCGGCAGGCUUAAUACAUGCAAGUCGAGGGGCAGCAUGAAUGUAGCAAUACAUUUGAUGGCGACCGGCAAACGGGUGCGGAACACGUACACAACCUUCCUAUAAGUGGGGAAUAGCCCAGAGAAAUUUGGAUUAAUACCCCGUAACAUAAUGAUGUGGCAUCACAUUAUUAUUAUAGCUACGGCGCUUGUUGAUGGGUGUGCGGCUGAUAAGAUAGUUGGCGGGGUAACGGCCCACCAAGUCUACGAUCAGUAGCUGAUGUGAGAGCAUGAUCAGCCACACGGGAACUGAGACACGGGCCCGAAUACUACGGGGGGCAGCAGUAAGGAAUAUUGGUAAAUGGACGCAAGUCUGAACCAGCCAUGCCGCGUGAAGGAUUAAGGUCCUCUGGAUUGUAAACUUCUUUUAUCUGGGACGAAAAAAGGCUAUUCUUAGUCACUUGACGGUACCAGAUGAAUAAGCACCGGCUAACUCCGUGCCAGCCGCCGCCGUAAUAC